ensembl:ncRNA K01A2.14 ncRNA
AUUUUGUAAUUUCAGAAAAAAAAAUUUAAUAAACAUUUUUUGAGAAAACGUUUUUCAGAAUUUUU